rnacentral:rRNA from 1 species
UACGUAGGGUGCGAGCGUUACUCGGAAUUACUGGGCGUAAAGCGUGCGCAGGCGGUUUUGUAAGUCAGAUGUGAAAUCCCCGGGCUUAACCUGGGAACUGCGUUUGAAACUACAAGGCUAGAGUGUAGCAGAGGGGGGUGGAAUUCCACGUGUAGCAGUGAAAUGCGUAGAGAUGUGGAGGAACACCGAUGGCGAAGGCAGCCCCCUGGGUUAACACUGACGCUCAGGCACGAAAGCGUGGGGAGCAAACAGG